rnacentral:tRNA from 1 species
GGGGAUUUAGCUCAGUGGGAGAGCGCUUGCCUAGGAAGCGCAAGGCCCUGGGUUCGAUCCCCAGCUCCG